GGGCCCGCACAAGCGGUGGAGCAUGUGGUUUAAUUCGAUGAUACGCGAGGAACCUUACCAGGGCUUAAAUGCAGAACGACCGGGGUGGAAACACCCCUUUCUUCGGACGGUCUGCAAGGUGCUGCAUGGUUGUCGUCAGCUCGUGCUGUGAAGUGUCGGGUUAAGUCCCAUAACGAGCGCAACCCCUAUUUCUAGUUGCCAGCGGUUCGGCCGGGGACUCUAGAGAAACUGCCAGCGUAAGCUGUGAGGAAGGUGGGGAUGACGUCAAAUCAUCACGGCCCUUACGUCCUGGGCCACACACGUGCUACAAUGGUGGGGACAACGAGUCGCUAACCCGCGAGGGUAAGCUAAUCUUCAAACCCCAUCUCAGUUCGGAUCGGAGUCUGCAACUCGACUCCGUG
rnacentral:rRNA from 1 species